GGGCCUAUAGCUCAGUUGGUUAGAGCGCACGCCUGAUAAGCGUGAGGUCAGUGGUUCAACUCCACUUAGGCCCA
rnacentral:tRNA from 3 species